rnacentral:misc_RNA from 1 species
GAUGAAGAACGUAGCGAAAUGCGAUAAGUAGUGUGAAUUGCAGAAUUCAGUGAAUCAUCGAAUCUUUGAACGCACAUUGCGCCCCUUGGUAUUCCAUGGGGCAUGCCUGUUCGAGCGCCAUUUGUACCUUCAAGCCUUGCUUGGUGUUGGGUGUUUGUCUCGCCUCUGCGCGCAGACUCGCCUCAAAACAAUUGGCAGCCGGCGUAUUGAUUUCGGAGCGCAGUACAUCUCGCGCUUUGCACUCAGAACGACGACGUCCAAAAGUACAUUUUUACACUCUUGACCUCGGAUCAGGUAGGGAUACCCGCUGAACUUAAGCAUAUCAAUAAGCGGAGGA